CAGCAGCCGCGGUAAUACGGAGGGUGCAAGCGUUAAUCGGAAUUACUGGGCGUAAAGCGCGCGUAGGUGGCUUGAUAAGCCGGUUGUGAAAGCCCCGGGCUCAACCUGGGAACGGCAUCCGGAACUGUCAAGCUAGAGUGCAGGAGAGGAAGGUAGAAUUCCCGGUGUAGCGGUGAAAUGCGUAGAGAUCGGGAGGAAUACCAGUGGCGAAGGCGGCCUUCUGGACUGACACUGACACUGAGGUGCGAAAGCGUGGGUGGCAAACAGGAUUAGAUACCCUGGUAGUCCACGCCGUAAACGAUGUCGACCAGCCGUUGGGUGCCUAGCGCACUUUGUGGCGAAGUUAACGCGAUAAGUCGACCGCCUGGGGAGUACGGCCGCAAGGUUAAAACUCAAAUGAAUUGACGGGGGCCCGCACAAGCGGUGGAGCAUGUGGUUUAAUUCGAUGCAACGCGAAGAACCUUACCUACUCUUGACAUCCUGCGAAUUUGGUAGAGAUACCUUAGUGCCUUCGGGAACGCAGAGACAGGUGCUGCAUGGCUGUCGUCAGCUCGUGUUGUGAAAUGUUGGGUUAAGUCCCGUAACGAGCGCAACCCUUGUCCUUAUUUGCCAGCGCGUAAUGGCGGGAACUCUAAGGAGACUGCCGGUGACAAACCGGAGGAAGGUGGGGACGACGUCAAGUCAUCAUGGCCCUUACGAGUAGGGCUACACACGUGCUACAAUGGUCGGUACAAAGGGUUGCCAACUCGCGAGAGUGAGCCAAUCCCGAAAAGCCGAUCUCAGUCCGGAUCGGAGUCCGCAACUCGACUCCGUGAAGUCGGAAUCGCUAGUAAUCGUGGAUCAGAAUGCCACGGUGAGUACGUUCCCGGGCCUUGUACACACCGCCCGUCACACCAUGGGAGUGGACUGCACCAGAAGUGGUUAGCCUAACGCAAGAGGGCGAUCACCACGGUGUGGUUCAUGACUGGGGUGAAGUCGUAACAAGGUAACCGUA
rnacentral:rRNA from 1 species